UCUGGAAGCAAAUUGUUCCUAUCCCAUAAGAUAAAAUUAAAUGCAUUAUUAUGUCACAAAGAGCAUCACGAUUUCCCAGUAUUUUAUCCUGAAUAAGUAUGAAGACCACUGCUCUUCCAGAGGGGUUGAGAAAAAUAUUAAGUGAGAAGCCCAUAGAUAUUAGGUAAUGAUCAAUGUGUUAAAAAUGGAAUCAGGCCGGGUGGGGUGGCUCACACCUGUAAUCCCAGCACUUUGGGAGGCCGAGGUGGGUGGAUCACGAGGUCAGGAGUUCGAGACCCUGUCUCUACUAAAAAUACAAAAAUUAGCCAGGCAUGGUGGCACAUGCCUGUAAUACCAGCUACUCAGGUGAGGGUGCCUAAGUGGGUAAGGGAGGUCUCCAAAGACGUGACCUUCAAUGUGAAUACAAUAAACACUGUGAAUACAGUGCGGAAGCAAGCCAGAAAAUGUCAGGAGAGCAGAGCAAAUCGGUGCAAUGUGAUAUUUGACAUGAAAUGCCGCACUAGGGCCCUGUGGUUCACAUUACAACCUAAUCUCUUGAGGAAGAAAUGCUAAUGGUCAGGAAUUGGUACAUUUCCUUCACCAGCUACCUGAGUAGCAGAAGGCAAGAGGCCUCAGUCAGUAUGUGGUUUGUUAGAUUAUCAGAAGCUAUAACCAGAGGUUACUUGGGGGACUAUGCAGGGCUGUUAGGACUUCUGGGGCCCUUAAAAAAUUUGCCAGGAGUUUGUUUUUGCUACACUUAAACCUCUCUUGGCCAGGCACGGUGGCUCAUGCCUGUAAUCCCAGCACUUUGGGAGGUCGAGAUGGGCGGAUCACCUGAGGUCAGGAGUUCGACACCAGCCUGGCCAACAUGGUGAAACCCCAUCUCUACUAAAAAUACAAAAAUUAGCUGGGUGUGGUGGCACAUGCUUGCAGUCACAGCUACUCAGGAGUCUGAGGAAGCAGACACUUGAACCCGGGAGAUGGAGGUUGCAGUGAGCCGAGAUUGCACCACUGCACUCCAGCUUCAGUGACAGAGCAAGGCUCCAUUUAAAAAAAAAGAAAAAACACCUGUCUCUCAACCAUUUGCCCCUCUGGGCCCCCAGGGCACUCACACUGCCCAAGGUCAUGCCAACCCACCCAGGCAUUUCUGGUGGACACCUGUUGUGUGCCAGCCCAGAACUCCUCCCUUCUUUGGGUAAUGGAACCCCUUUUCUUCUGACACAUGUUCUUCUCCCCAUUACAAAUAUGUGGUUCAAAAGGAGCUGCCACGUUAUUACAAAUCCUGCCCUUUGGUCACAUUCAUGAGUCUUUGGUUGGGAACAUGACUAAAACUGGGCCAAUCA
rnacentral:lncRNA from 1 species